AAGCUCUACGUAACUAAAUCGUGCGCAUGGGCGAAAUUUAAAAAGGCAGGCGCAAGCAAAGAAAAUAACGGUUUUCUCUCAGUUUGUACUUUGCAGCAGAAGCAAAAUAUCACCAAACAUGUAUGCAGUUGUGGAUUUUUUUGAAGAAGGGACAUCAGAAAUUGUUCCAGUGGAAAAUAUUGAAGUUUGAUGGGACGUGCGACAAUUUGAAAGAAUGUAUUGCUAUUUGGCAGCGCACGGGGAAGAGAUAUCCUGCCUACAUCAUAGCUCUGGAUGGGCUCGUUCAGAAGUACUCCUCAUUGAGAGACCACAGGGAUAUGUCUCGAGGACACUGCAGCCAUUUUGCUCCUCCUCUACAUCCUUCAAGAAUAUCCAAAUGGACUGUACGUCACAGACAUGUGUGUAAAGUUCCCAUCACCUACAAUAAGAAUAGAUGGGAAUCCCUUUUGCGUCAAAGUCUUCCUUGAUGGAGAGGAGUAUCUCACUGAAGAGCCUGAGGACAUCUCCAUGGGAUUGGGAGUGUCGAUGGGGUUCCAUUUCCUUUUCAAUAUUUAGUAUGCAGCAUCAGUGAAAAGCACUAUGCUGUGCAUUCAGAAAUGUGUUGUGGGAAUUGAUGAGGGGGGUAAAUUACCAACAAAUGUUGAAUGGCAAACUUUUUGCUGCAAGAGUGAUAUGGGAGACCAGAGCACAAAGUUACACAUGGUGAGUUGUACCAGCCAAAAUUACUCCAAUUAGAAACCACUUAGAAAGCUGUUAUUCGAUGUGCUAAUGAUUUGUUAGUGUCUCUACAUGCCUUUUAGUUUUAUUAUUGACCUGUGAAAUAUUUUUCAUUUAUCUAAACAUAUAAUUUUUAUCAGUAAGAUGGGGUCUUUUGAUUGGUAUAGUUGAAGUCAAUAAUUAUUGUGUUUUUGUUUAUCGAUUGCAUAUUUGGAUUUCUGAAACUUUCAUAGUCAAUCAAAUUAAUUUGUGUCUUUACAGGUUUGCCACUCAAUGUUUUUUAUUUAUUUAUUUCACCUUUAUUUAACCAGGUAGGCCAGUUGAGAACAAGUUCUCAUUUACAACUGCGACCUGGCCAAGAUAACCCUAGAGGUUAGGUGGGACGUUAGCGUCCCACUCUAUUCAACAGCCAGUGGAAGAGCGUGGCGCGAACUACAAAAACCUCAAAAAUGCUAUAAUUUCACU